rnacentral:rRNA from 1 species
GACGAACGCUGGCGGCGUGCCUAAUACAUGCAAGUCGAGCGAGACUCUUCGGAGUCUAGCGGCGGACGGGUGAGUAACACGUGGGCAACCUGCCUGUAAGACUGGGAUAACACCGGGAAACCGGUGCUAAUACCGGAUAAUCCUUUUUCUCUCAUGAGGAAAAGCUGAAAGUCGGUUUCGGCUGACACUUACAGAUGGGCCCGCGGCGAAUUAGCUAGUUGGUGAGGUAACGGCUCACCAAGGCGACGAUGCGUAGCCGACCUGAGAGGGUGACCGGCCACACUGGGACUGAGACACGGCCCAGACUCCUACGGGAGGCAGCAGUAGGGAAUCUUCCACAAUGGACGAAAGGCUGAUGGAGCAACGCCGCGUGGGCGAUGAAGGCCUUCGGGUCGUAAAGCUCUGUUGUUAGGGAAGAACAAGUACCGGAGUAACUGCCGGUACCUUGACGGUACCUAACCAGAAAGCCACGGCUAACUACGUGCCAGCCGCCGCGGUAA